rnacentral:rRNA from 1 species
GUCGAACGGUAACAUAAGAAAAGCUUGCUUUUCUUGAUGACGAGUGGCGGACGGGUGAGUAAGAUUUGGGAAACUACCUGAUAGAGGGGGACAACAGUUGGAGACGACUGCUAAUACCGCAUACAGCCUCAGGGUGAAAGAAGCGAUUCGCUAUCAGAUGUGCCCAAAUGGGAUUAGCUAGUAGGUGAGGUAAAGGCUCACCUAGGCGACGAUCUCUAGCUGGUCUGAGAGGAUGAUCAGCCACAUUGGGACUGAGACACGGCCCAGACUCCUACGGGAGGCAGCAGUAGGGAAUAUUGCACAAUGGAGGAAACUCUGAUGCAGCC